ACAAGAACUAGCCCGACCCACCUCAAACUCAACUCACCUAAAUAACUAAAUCAAAACAUUUACACACCGUAAAAGUAUAGGAGAUAGAAAUUACACUCGGCGCUAUAGAGAAAGUACCGCAAGGGAAAGAUGAAAGAUGAUCCAUAAGUGAGAAACAGCAAAGAUUACCCCUUUUACCUUUUGCAUAAUGAGUUAACUAGUACAAUUUAGCAAAGAGAUCUAAAGUUAAACCCCCCGAAACCAGACGAGCUACCUACAAACAGUCUUAUAGGACUAAUCCAUCUAUGUGGCAAAAUAGUGGAAAGAUUUGUAGUUAGAGGUGAAAAGCCUACCGAGCCUGGUGAUAGCUGGUUGUCCAGGACAGAAUAUCAGUUCAAACUUAAACCCUGCCUAAAAAACUAACAAUUUUAAUGCAGGUUUAAAGCAUAGUCUAAAAGGGGACAGCCUUUUAGACACAGGGUACAACCUUUAUUAGUGAGUAAGCAUUGUCUAUACCAUAGUUGGCCUAGAAGCAGCCAUCAAUUAAGAAAGCGUUAAAGCUCAACAAUCAUAACCACUCCAAUACCUCAAGCAACAUCUAACUCCUAAUACCCAACUGGACUAUUCUAUUGAUAAAUAGAAGAACUACUGUUAAUAUGAGUAACAAGAAUUAUUUCUCCCGGCACAAACCUAUAUCAGAACGGAUAACCCACUGAUAGUUAACAACAAAAUGAGACCAAUCUACAAACAAGAUACCCAUUAAUCAAGUUGUUAGCCCAACACAGGAGUGCACUAAAGGAAAGAUUAAAAGAAGUAAAAGGAACUCGGCAAACACAAACCCCGCCUGUUUACCAAAAACAUCACCUCUAGCAUAUCAAGUAUUAGAGGCACUGCCUGCCCAGUGACAUUAGUUCAACGGCCGCGGUAUCCUGACCGUGCAAAGGUAGCAUAAUCACUUGUUCCUUAAAUAGGGACUUGUAUGAAUGGCCACACGAGGGUUUUACUGUCUCUUACUUCCAAUCAGUGAAAUUGACCUUCCCGUGAAGAGGCGGGAAUGCCCCAAUAAGACGAGAAGACCCUAUGGAGCUUCAAUUAACUAGCCCAACAAGGACAAACUACAACCUACCAGGCACAACUACCCUCACUAUGGGCUAGCAAUUUAGGUUGGGGUGACCUCGGAGCACAAAAAAACCUCCGAGUGAUUAAAGCCUAGACUAACGAGUCAAAGCAUUAUAUCAUUCAUUGAUCCAAACUAUUUUGAUCAACGGAACAAGUUACCCUAGGGAUAACAGCGCAAUCCUAUUUAAGAGUCCAUAUCGACAAUAGGGUUUACGACCUCGAUGUUGGAUCAGGACAUCCCAAUGGUGCAGCAGCUAUUAACGGUUCGUUUGUUCAACGAUUAAAGUCCUACGUGAUCUGAGUUCAGACCGGAGUAAUCCAGGUCGGUUUCUAUCUAUUCUAGGCUCCCCCCAGUACGAAAGGACAAGGGAAGCAAGGCCCACUUUACAUAAGCGCCUUAGAGCUAAUAGAUGAUCUAAUCUAAAUCUAAUAGCAACAAAUAACUCCACCCUAGAUAAGGGGUUU
rnacentral:rRNA from 1 species